GGAGUCCAGAAUGAGAAGAAGGAAAGCGGGGCCGGUUCCUUCAGGACCCGCCUCAGGGGGCACCGCGGCGGCUUGGGGACCACUUGGAGCCCCGUCCUGGGGAGAAAACAGCUCACGUCUAUGGCCCUGACUGCUUAGGCGGGAGCUGCGUGCAGCUCAGCUUCUCCGGGGCAUUUUUUUCUACACGGACAGCCAAGAGCACAAGAUCAUCCUCUAUGAAAACCCCAACUUCACCGGGAAGAAGAUGGAAAUCAUAGAUGACGAUGUACCCAGCUUCCACGCCCAUGGCUACCAGGAGAAGGUGUCAUCUGUGUGGGUGCGGAGUGGCAUGUGGGUUGGCUACUAGUACCCUGGCUACCGUGGGCUGCAGUACCUGCUGGAGAAGGGAGACUACAAGGACAGCAGCGACUUUGGGGCCCGUCACCCUCAGGUACAGUCCGUGCGCUGCAUCCACGACAUGCAGGGGCACCAAUGUGGUGCCUUCCACCCCUCCAACUAGUGCCCACCCCACCAUGCCUCCUUCCCAGGACCCAGGUCUGCUGCCCAGGAACCCUCCAGACCUCCCAGAGAGUGAAUGAAGUGUGACUUGCAACUUG
ensembl:lncRNA CRYBB2P1 crystallin beta B2 pseudogene 1